GCCGGCAUAGCUCAGCUGGCAGAGCAAAUCAUUCGUAAUGAUUAGGUCGCUGGUUCGAAUCCAGUUGCCGGCA
rnacentral:tRNA from 1 species